GGCUCUGUGGUGCAACGGAAGCACAUCUGACUCCAGAUCAGAAGGUUAUGUGUUCAAGUCGCAUCAGGGUCA